rnacentral:rRNA from 1 species
UACGGAGGGGACUAGCGUUGUUCGGAAUUACUGGGCGUAAAGCGCACGUAGGCGGAUUUGUAAGUCAGGGGUGAAAUCCCGGGGCUCAACCUCGGAACUGCCUUUGAUACUGCAAAUCUCGAGUCCGGAAGAGGUGAGUGGAAUUCCUAGUGUAGAGGUGAAAUUCGUAGAUAUUAGGAAGAACACCAGUGCGAAGGCGGCUCACUGGUCCGGUACUGACGCUGAGGUGCGAAAGCGUGGGGAGCAAACA